UGAGGUUGGAGCACUAAGUCGGACUUCUAAUCUGUACUUAAUUCGGGUUGCGUCGAAUAGCCUUAU
rnacentral:tRNA from 1 species